UUUCCUCCGCCAUCAAACCAGGUCUCUGCACCUCUCCUCACCUCCCUCUCCUUUUCGCCGCCGUCAAACCAGAUCUCUGCACCUCUCCUCACCUCCCUCUCAUUUACGCCGCCGUCAAACCAGAUCUAUGCACCUCUCCUCACAUCCCUCUCCUUUCUGUGGCCAACACACCUCUCUCAACCACAAACGCUGCCGCCGACACGCCUCUCUCAUCAGCCACCAGCAACGCAAGUUAUCCUCAGUGUUCGCUGACGCCUCCUUCCGCGACCGCGACCGCUGCCAGCUGCCGCAACUGCCUCUGCCGACGUCUAUGCAUUAUUAACGCGGUUUGUUAACUUGCUUCUUGUAGGAAGCAAUGGAGCAUAGACAACCUACAAAUUCAUUCAGUUCAUUUGGAAAUGGCCAGAGUCAUAAUCAAAAUUAUAUUUCAGAGCAACCUUUUACUGCCACAGGAAGAAUUGCUGCUUUAGGUGGCUCUUUUGUCCAUCCUGGACCUGGAGAUGUCCUGGCAAGCAGUGAAGACCAACACUGGAAUUCCAGAGGCAGAGUACAUCAAUAUCAUUAUUCAAGUUCUAGCAUAGAAGCAGCUCAUUUUCCCCCACAGAUUUCAGGCCCUCCCUAAAAUCGAUCAUUUACCCUAAGGCCUGAAAAAUGUGAUGGUGAGGUCUCUCUCAAGGAAGAUAAUAUAUUGUUCAAGAGUGUCAGCUCUAGACCAAUGACUUAGUUUUGAAGUCUACAUUUACGUUUUUGCAUAUCCAGGUACAAGGCAUGGGGUUCUCUCUUAGCUAGGGAGACAGUGAUCAGAAUGGGAUAUCAUAGUGGCAUGCAUUGAUUACAGGUCCUUGUUGGAACUGGUCCCGUAUUAUGAAUAUAAUCAGAAUAAAAACUUUGAAGGUUUAUGCCUUUGGGUUCUAUGUUCAUCCUUUUGAUGUCUGCCAGAAGUUGGGUCCAAAAUAUUCUUCUUUUCCCUGCAGACAAAUCCUGAGACUGAUUUUCACUGCAUACAUACAUUUGGUUCAACCUUCUCUCAAGAUAUCCCUUUACAUGUUGGUACGACAAUCAAUUUUCGGCGUACGGCCGAUGGACAUCUGAUUACCGAGAUUGGUGGUAAUCAUAUUGGAACAGUUCAUAGCAAGGAAUUGUGUAGGGCCUUUUUUGAUAUGUACAUUGGUGAUCUCCCUUUUUUGAUAUAUACUUAAAGUAU